rnacentral:tRNA from 1 species
GCCCAUGAGGUGAGGCACACCAAAAUGCAAAUUUGGAGACGUACCCUAACAGGUGCCGGGGCUUCUCCCGUUUCCCCACAGACGGGAGAAGC